rnacentral:lncRNA from 1 species
CUUUUUGACUCACAAAACAUAUAGACCCGAGUAGGUACGACCUUGAAUUCCAUUAUUCAGCAGUCAGCUGAAGGAGGGAGGUGAGGAGAAGUUAGGAGUUGGACAGACAUUUCAUUCAUGGUCAUUUGGAUGUAUCUCUCCUAUGUAGCAAUCGGAUAUAUGGAUCUGCAUCCAUCCAUCCUUCCUGUUCCUAGGAAUAUCCCAUUCAUACGCCUGCAGAUACUCUGUUCAAGGGAUCUCGACUCUUCAAGCGAGAUCCCUUGAACCAGUUUUUUACUCAGUCGGUGAAUCUCGUCUCCUUUAUUGGAAGAAUUGUUGAUGUAUCUUCUACGGAAUCAUCGUAUAGUUCUAUAUUUAAGAAUUAAGGAUUUCCAGAAAACGACAGAAAGAUGACCCAGGAAGGAACAGAGAGAGUUUUCUUCCUCCAUCCACAGCUCCGUUUUUGAAAUUCGUGAAAGUCAACUCUGCUUCGUCUCCUACUCUAAGAUAACUAUUUCACUAAUAAGAGUCCUUCAGUGACCUUGAUUUAUGUAACGGAGAAUCCACUCAUCUCAAUCACAUUUAUAUCAAUUGCAUUUGUAAGUUGGACUUCGUGAUAUACGAUCUAUAUGACUAAUUAUAAAAACCUGUAAAAUUUC